CAGUAGCCACGGGAAUACAGAGGGUGCGAGCGUUAAUCAUUUACUGGGCGUAAAGCGUGCGUAGGCGGCUAAUUGAGUCGGAUGUGAAAUCCCCGAGCUUAACUUGGGAAUUGCAUUCGAUACUGGUUAGCUAGAGUGUGGGAGAGGAUGGUAGAAUUCCAGGUGUAGCGGUGAAAUGCGUAGAGAUCUGGAGGAAUACCGAUGGCGAAGGCAGCCAUCUGGCCUAACACUGACGCUGAGGUACGAAAGCAUGGGGAGCAAACAGGAUUAGAUACCCGAGUAGUCCCUGUCUCUUAUACAA
rnacentral:rRNA from 1 species